CCGAGCGGUCGCAGCUCGCCUGGCGGUUAUCGGCCGUUUGUUUUCAAUAAGAAUUUUACUAUUUAAAAUUAAUAAGUUCAAUGAAACAUUAAACCCUGAGCACAGGAUCGUUUUCGCGUCAAGUUAUGUGCGUGAAAGGAGGCAGGCUGAGCGACAUAACGGCCGCGGUGGAAGUCUGAGCAAGUUUAGGCAGGCGGGCGAGUUUCGGCCAAGUUCGUGACUUUGGACUGCUAAAUUCAAUGAUUCCGGCGUUUGAACGAAUGUGCCCGGUGUGUUUUAAAGUGAGGUGGGGUUGAGAUGCUGAAGAUCAUGCCGUCACUUUGCUGCAUUUCUCGCUUUCAAGAUGUGAUACAGCCUCUGUUGGUGCGGUGGCGGAAAUGGAUUACCAAAUGUCGGGUGAACGUUUAAGAUAGAGUUUGUCAGAUAAGAAAUGUUCGACGGUUUAUGUGUUGAAGGUGCCUUGAUGAGUGAAGUGGUCGACACUUGUGUGAUGGAGUUGUGGUUCAAACCUAGUUCGAGCAAAUGUGAGAUGCGCUUUAAACUGUUCACAAUCGUGAAGUGAGGAAGUGUUGAUGGGUAACAAGAUAGGUGCCUACUAUCCCUGCCUGCACGUUUCAAAAGGUUGACACCUGCUGACUUGAAACGCCACUGAUGUGUGGAAUUUUGUGUAACUCUGAAGACUGUUCUAUGGAACCCUGUUUGAUAAUUUAGUGACUUUUUGUGGAUUUGUUGAUUCAAAGAAGAACCCUGCUCGUGUGUGGUUGUGAGCAAGCUCAAGAGGGUAUUUUCUUGUCAAUAGAAGGGAGAGUGAAACCUGCUGUGUUUUGUGAAAUUAUCCUAUAGGCAUUUAAAGGAGUUAUUAUCACCAUUUUUAAGUUAUUAUUUUUUUUUUGUUACACUUCUGGCCAUGAGAACUGUGUUUGGACUGUGAGGAGAUGUUCGCUUUUGACAUGAACUUUGGAACGGUCCUGAAAUUUGUUCGAAAUGUUCGUUAAACAUGGAUUUGGAUUCCAGAAACUGGAAUGGUUUGCAUUUAUCAGACUGCUGCUUACAAUUUCUUUGCAAAUUCCUGGAGGGAGUCUUUGUGGAUGAAGCCAAGCGCAGUGGUGAGUU